rnacentral:rRNA from 1 species
AGAGUUUGAUCCUGGCUCAGGAUUAACGCUGGCGGUAUGUCUAAUACAUGCAAGUCGAACGAGGCUUCGAGCCGAGUGGCGAACGGGUGCGUAACACGUUGGAAUCUGCCCCAAACUCAGGGAUAACAUCUAGAAAUAGAUGCUAAUACCGGAUAGUCCCGUAAGGGUAAAGCUUUUGCGGUUUGGGAGGAGCCUGCGGCGUAUCAGCUUGUUGGUGGGGUAAUGGCCUACCAAGGCAAUGACGCGUAGCUGGUCUGAGAGGAUGAUCAGCCACAAUGGAACUGAGACACGGUCCAUACUCCUACGGAGGCAGCAGUAAAGAAUCUUCCACAAUGGGGGAAACCCUGAUGGAGCAAUACCGCGUGGUCGAUGACGGUCGUAAGAUUGUAAAGGCCUUUUCUGAGGGAAGAAUUAUGACGGUACCUUAGGAAUAAGCACCGGCUAACUCCGUGCCAGCAGCCGCGGUAAUACGGAGGGUGCAAGCGUUAUCCGGAAUCAUUGGGCGUAAAGCGUCCGCAGGCGGUUUAUUAAGUCAGAUAUUAAAGACUGGGGCUCAACUCCAGCAAAAUGUCUGAAACUGGUUAACUAGAGGGUUUCAGAGGUAUGUGGAAUUCUAUGUGUAGGGGUAAAAUCCGUUGAUAC